rnacentral:tRNA from 4 species
GCGAUAGUGGCUCAGUUGGUAGAGUACGACCUUGCCAAGGUCGGGGUCGCGGGUUCGAACCCCGUCUAUCGCU